rnacentral:rRNA from 1 species
ACGCACGCUGGCGGCAUGCCUAACACCUGCCAGUCGAACGAGACCUUCGGGUCUAGUGGCGCACGGGUGCGUAACGCGUGGGAACCUGCCCUUAGGUUCGGAAUAACUCCCCGAAAGGGGUGCUAAUACCGGAUAAUGUCUUCGGACCAAAGAUUUAUCGCCUUUGGAUGGGCCCGCGUUGGAUUAGCUAGUUGGUAGGGUAAAAGCCUACCAAGGCGACGAUCCAUAGCUGGUCUGAGAGGAUGAUCAGCCACACUGGGACUGAGACACGGCCCAGACUCCUACGGGAGGCAGCAGUGGGGAAUAUUGGACAAUGGGCGAAAGCCUGAUCCAGCAAUGCCGCGUGAGUGAUGAAGGCCUUAGGGUUGUAAAGCUCUUUUACCCGGGAUGAUAAUGACAGUACCGGGAGAAUAAGCUCCGGCUAACUCCGUG